CCUACGGGGUGCUGCAGUCGAGAAUCAUUCACAAUGGGGGAAACCCUGAUGGUGCGACGCCGCGUGGGGGAAUGAAGGUCUUCGGAUUGUAAACCCCUGUCAUGUGGGAGCAAAUUAAAAAGAUAGUACCACAAGAGGAAGAGACGGCUAACUCUGUGCCAGCAGCCGCGGUAAUACAGAGGUCUCAAGCGUUGUUCGGCAUCACUGGGCGUAAGGCGUGCGUAGGCUGUUUCGUAAGUCGUGUGUGAAAGGCGCGGGCUCAACCCGCGGACGGCACAUGAUACUGCGAGACUAGAGUAAUGGAGGGGGAACCGGAAUUCUCGGUGUAGCAGUGAAAUGCGUAGAUAUCGAGAGGAACACUCGUGGCGAAGGCGGGUUCCUGGACAUUAACUGACGCUGAGGCACGAAGGCCAGGGGAGCGAAAGGGAUUAGAUACCCGGGUAGUC
rnacentral:rRNA from 1 species